rnacentral:rRNA from 1 species
GGAGAGUUUAGAAGAAGGUUUAGAACGUUUAAACUUCUUAAACAGGCACCUAAAGCUUCAGUUUGGGAGGGAGUUCCAUACCGCCGAAGGGUUGGUUGUUUGGUUGCUACUUCCUCCUAUCGCUUCUACUCUACCGGCCUACCACCCUCUUCCGACGCUUCUUCGAAUCUCUCCUCCUACGUCGGUUCGAUUUCUUCUUCUUCCUUCUCCUCGAACUCUUCCUCUCCUUCGCUUUUGUCUCACGCCGUUUACGCUACGCGCGAUCCCUCGUUCGCAACUACUCCUUUCAACUCCUCCGUGUCUUCUUCGCAGUUGUCCUAAAACUUCUUUCUUGGUACUUCGAAACCCGUUAACGUCGACUUUUUCUUUUCUCCCUGUUAGUCUAUAAGUACCUCUCCCACCAAUUCCUCCGAGUGGAGUAUUCUUUUUCCCUCCUCCUUCUCCUUCUUCUCUCCUUCUUCUUCUUCCCUUUCCCCGGAACGAGAUGCGUUAUCUCGAUACAGAGGAGAAGCUAAACCAACAGAGGUUACACUAAACCAACACUUGAUGAUACACGGCACUUGAUGAUACAGAGGAGGAGCUAAACCAACACACUUGAUGAUACACGCCACUUGAUGAUACAGAGGAGGAACUAAACCAACAUUCUUGAUGAUACACAGCACUUCAUGAUACACAAUACUUGAUGAUACACAGCACUUCAUGAACCCGCGACGAUAGAUGGUACACCGCGGAUCGACGACACCGAGAGACAUUUCAUGGAAGACAAGACCGACGUAUCGAUGUCUGGUCACGUCGCGCAUCGAUCCUCCGCGGUGUGACAUGUCACGUCGCGGACCGCCGAUCCGUGACGUGACAUAUCACACCGCGGAGGCACGAUCCGC